rnacentral:tRNA from 1 species
GCGCCGGUGGUGUAAAGGGUAGAGCAUUCCCUCCCGGUUAGAGGGAGGUGCGGGUUCGAGUCCCGCCUGGCGCU